rnacentral:rRNA from 1 species
ACUCGAGUGGCGAACGGGUGAGUAACACGUGGGUGAUCUGCCUUGCACUCUGGGAUAAGCUUGGGAAACUGGGUCUAAUACCGGAUAGGACCAUGCUUUAGUGUGUGUGGUGGAAAGUUUUUCGGUGCAAGAUGAGCCCGCGGCCUAUCAGCUUGUUGGUGGGGUAAUGGCCUACCAAGGCGACGACGGGUAGCCGGCCUGAGAGGGUGUACGGCCACAUUGGGACUGAGACACGGCCCAG